CAGGCCUAACACAUGCAAGUCGAACGCCCGAGCAAUCGGGAGUGGCAGACGGGUGAGUAACGCGUGGGAACGUGCCUUCUGGUCUGGAAUAACCCUGGGAAACUAGGGCUAAUACCGGAUACGCCCUUUUGGGGAAAGGUUUACUGCCGGAAGAUCGGCCCGCGUCUGAUUAGCUAGUUGGUGGGGUAACGGCCUACCAAGGCGACGAUCAGUAGCUGGUCUGAGAGGAUGAUCAGCCACACUGGGACUGAGACACGGCCCAGACUCCUACGGGAGGCAGCAGUGGGGAAUAUUGGACAAUGGGCGCAAGCCUGAUCCAGCCAUGCCGCGUGAGUGAUGAAGGCCUUAGGGUUGUAAAGCUCUUUUAUCCGGGACGAUAAUGACGGUACCGGAGGAAUAAGCCCCGGCUAACUUCGUGCCAGCAGCCGCGGUAAU
rnacentral:rRNA from 1 species